rnacentral:rRNA from 1 species
UAGGGGGCAAGCGUUAUCCGGAUUUACUGGGUGUAAAGGGAGCGUAGACGGCCAGACAAGUCUGAAGUGAAAGCCAGGGGCUCAACCCCGGGACUGCUUUGGAAACUGCCCGGCUAGAGUGCUGGAGAGGUAAGCGGAAUUCCUAGUGUAGCGGUGAAAUGCGUAGAUAUUAGGAAGAACACCAGUGGCGAAGGCGGCUUACUGGACAGUAACUGACGUUGAGGCUCGAAAGCGUGGGGAGCAAA